UGCCAGCCGCCGCGGUAAUACAUAGGGGUCAAGCGUUAUUCGGAAUAACUGGGCGUAAAGCGAGCGUAGGCGGAUUUGUAAGUUGGAGGUGAAAUCCCAGGGCUUAACCCUGGAGCUGCCUUCAAAACUACAUUUCUUGAGUUUGGUAGAGGAGAGUGGAAUUCCUAGUGUAGAGGUGAAAUUCGUAGAUAUUAGGAGGAACACCAGUGGCGAAGGCGACUCUCUGGGCCAAUACUGACGCUGAGGUUCGAAAGCGUGGGGAGCGAACGGGAUUAGAUA
rnacentral:rRNA from 1 species